rnacentral:rRNA from 1 species
GGCCCUACGGGGCGCAGCAGGCGCGAAAACUUUACAAUGCGGGAAACCGUGAUAAGGGGACACCGAGUGCCAGCAUCAUAUGCUGGCUGUCCAGGUGUGUAAAAUACACCUGUUAGCAAGGGCCGGGCAAGACCGGUGCCAGCCGCCGCGGUAACACCGGCGGCCCGAGUGGUGAUCGUGAUUAUUGGGUCUAAAGGGUCCGUAGCCGGUUUGGUCAGUCCUCCGGGAAAUCUGACAGCUCAACUGUUAGGCUUUCGGGGGAUACUGCCAGACUGAACCGG